CUGAAUUGCCUCCUGAUCACCCUCUUCAGCCGUUCCUAGAUUACUACACAGGCAGAGCGCUCCCUUCCUGCGCUGAUACAAAAAAGGUCUAUUUUCAGAUCAGAAAUAAGCUCUAAAAAUAACUCCCUGAGUAAAGGUGACAUUACUCAAAGAAUAUGUUCAUAUCGCGUUUCCUCUGACAGGAGAGAGUGGGAUCAGUUCCUGGUUGGUGAACACACUGACGGUAUCUCGGUUCCUCAUGGCUGGGUUCUGCCCGACCAACCAGCUGACGACGUCUGGGCCCCGGCCCUGAAAAAAUGAUGCUUAUGACCCGACUGGGGAAAACAUGUAUGGCUGGGACAGUGUGUGACCAGAUUCUGAAGUUUGGGUGCGAGCGGCUCAGGUAAACAGCCACUGUCAGUGGAUUAGUGGAGCAGAGGAAUCAACACACGGCUCUGUGAAGAGUGACGGUAACACUGUCCACAGCACACCACGGAGACCAGCCACACGCAGGAGACGCAGGAGAUAAGGGUGAAAUGUCCUGUCUGGAUGAGGUGCCCUUUAAGAUCCCUCUUGGCUUUCUUGAGGAUGCUAAAGUAGAGGUUGAGCUCAUCACAGCUCCAGAAAUCGCUCUCCCCGACUACCUGAAGAUACUGCAGGAAACUGAGUAUGUCUUCAGCCUGGAAAACUGGGUUCUCACGGGUCUCCAGGCCGGCUAUCCAAACCUCAAUCCCUGCUCUUCCUGUGAGCCUACGGCCACCUGUCCUCCAUACUGGAUGAUGUUCAGCAGCCCUCAGGAAAGCAGGUUAGCCAGCCGCUGGAGCAGUGACUUCUGGGAACCCAACCCUCGUCCCCGCAGCCGUAGCUUAAACGCGGCCCACUACCGCACGAUGAAUGCUCGAGUCAAAUUCACCAUCUCUGACUCGGAAGAUGAAGAGUUUACAGAAGAAGAUGGCGCCGCUCUUGCUGACAGUGAAGCACAGUCCAAACGGGGUGGUUUGGGUUUGCCAAGACAGGAGCCAGGGUUGAAAGACUUGCACACUUGUGGAUCAUCAAACUUCCUCAAGCUGCCUUCACCUUGCAGCCUCGGCGCACAGCGCCAGGGGACGUCGUCUUCCCACUGCAGGCGUAACUCGCCCGAAAGAAACUUCCAGAGGAGUCAGAGAUCUGCUGGUCGUACUAAUGCAUCUCCCACAGUCUCCCCCAACAACUUGCAGUCUGAAUGCAUUAACAAUCCCACCCCAAAGGUAAGACUUCUUUAACUCUUACAGUCUGCCUCAGAGUCCACACUUUGGUUAUGAAAUGAAGUGCAUCAGCAAUGGAGUGAUGUAUUUUUGUAGGCCAACCUGGAAGUCUUCAUCACCCUGGUUUUCUUGACAAAAACCCAAAAGGAUUUUUCAAUUGAUUUUGGGAUUGUUGCAGAAAAUAAGGUCCAUGACCAACAAAAGUUUAUGAUUACACACAUUACACUCUUUGUUUAUCAAGGUAGUCUUCAAUCUUUUUUUUAUUUGUAUUUGUUAUUUUGAAGUCUAAAUACACUUUACAAUACAAUUGAAAAAGUGUAGGCUGUAAACGAACUACACUACAGUCGCAAGACAUUGGGACAGGCUUUUUGAAACCUAAAGUAUAAAAAAAAUGGGCACCCUUCGGACUUGUAGACUUCACAAAUGUGCAUAAGUUGCACUUACUCCUAUUGAGAUGCCUGCAUUUCGCGCAACAUAAUUUUGUCAUGCAAAGGUAAAUGUGACCUUAAACUAAAGGGGAUCCAGUGUGCAAUUUUUAUCUUUUUACAAAGUGAAGAAUUGUCAUAGAGACCAAGUGUGACUUUUCAGGUCUCCUGUUUCAGUAAUAUCUGUUGUUAAGGCUAAGCAUAAUACAUUUCUUCUCUGUCUUUGGUUGUCAGUGGGAAGAAUGGAUACUAAUCAAAAGUUAUUCUUUUGAAUUCAAGCAAUGGGACUAAAAGUAUAGUGUUUUUUUCUCCCACAUUUAUGCACACAUCCAUCUCAGCAUAUAGAUUUCACUACGAUAUGAAGUGCAAUGAAACAAACAGACACAUGGUUCGUUUAGAUGCCCAAAGGUGUGGUUUAAAUUUACUGUAAAUGGCAGGUCAUUAGUGGCUCUGUAGCAAUAAACAUUUUAAAUAAACAACA
ensembl:lncRNA